AAGUCGUAACAAGGUUUCCGUAGGUGAACCUGCGGAAGGAUCAUUUGUGAAAAUUUAAUGUUUUUUUGAAGAGGGGUAAAAUCCUUUUUAGAAAAACAUAAAAAAAGAGAUUUCUUGUGGUUUAUAAAUGAUUUUUUCAAAAAAAUUGUUUGUUGUUGGAUUCUUUCUGAUGACAAACAAUUUAUAUUUUUAAAAUCAAUUUUUUUAUAAAAAACUAUUUUAAACAUGUAUUUAAAAAAUUAACAGUUUUAAAAAAUAAAUUAAAAAAAAAUUAAAACUGUCAACGGUGGAUCUCUUGGCUCGU
rnacentral:misc_RNA from 1 species